rfam:Triticum urartu cultivar G1812 contig232646, whole genome shotgun sequence.
AAGGUACUCCCUCCGUCCGGAAAUACUUGUCAUCAAAAUGGAUAAAAGAGGAUGUAUGUAGACGUAUUUUAGUUCUAUAUACAUCUUUUUUUAUUCAUUUUGAUGACAAGUAUUUUCGGACGACGGGAGUACCAA